CUCUGAUAUGCAUUAGAUAUUAAUAUGCACAUUUGAAUGAGGAGUCGGGUUUCAAGUUACAAUAAAAACCACUUGUAAAGAAUUUUCUCCCAAAUUCAAAUCUUUAAAACAGCCACAACAGAUUAAAUUAUUUUUUUAAGGAAGCAUGUUCUAUCAUACUCGUGGCUCUAAUCCUGCAUUGCCAGUGCUGCCAGGUUGCUUAAGAGGUAACAGACUGACCGUGGGAGGAAUAAGAACAUUCUGGUACUGCCGUGCCUCUGAAACAAACCUGAUGAGAACCAGGACUUUCUGUGGAUGAACAGGAUGCAGCUUGCAAAGAGAAGUCUGUGGUGCUCCCUUUCAUAUCCCAUCCCUUCUGGCUCUGUCCGUGAGGAGG